rnacentral:rRNA from 1 species
CUUCUGGGAAAGCUUUCGCGGUAUGGGAUGGGGUCGCGUCCUAUCAGCUUGACGGCGGGGUAACGGCCCACCGUGGCUUCGACGGGUAGCCGGCCUGAGAGGGCGACCGGCCACAUUGGGACUGAGAUACGGCCCAGACUCCUACGGGAGGCAGCAGUGGGGAAUAUUGCACAAUGGGCGCAAGCCUGAUGCAGCGACGCCGCGUGAGGGAUGGAGGCCUUCGGGUUGUAAACCUCUUUUAUCGGGGAGCAAGCGUGAGUGAGUUUACCCGUUGAAUAAGCACCGGCUAACUACGUGCCAGCAGCCGCGGUAAUACGUAGGGUGCAAGCGUUAUCCGGAAUUAUUGGGCGUAAAGGGCUCGUAGGCGGUUCGUCGCGUCCGGUGUGAAAGUCCAUCGCUUAACGGUGGAUCCGCGCCGGGUACGGGCGGGCUUGAGUGCGGUAGGGGAGACUGGAAUUCCCGGUGUAACGGUGGAAUGUGUAGAUAUCGGGAAGAACACCAAUGGCGAAGGCAGGUCUCUGGGCCGUUACUGACGCUGAGGAGCGAAAGCGUGGGGAGCGAACAGGAUUAGAUACCCUGGUAGUCCACGCCGUAAACGGUGGAUGCUGGAUGUGGGGCCCGUUCCACGGGUUCCGUGUCGGAGCUAACGCGUUAAGCAUCCCGCCUGGGGAGUACGGCCGCAAGGCUAAAACUCAAAGAAAUUGACGGGGGCCCGCACAA